UACAGAGGUCUCAACCGUUGUUCGGAUUUACUGGGCGUAAAGGGCGCGUAGGCGGUCAGCACAAGUCAGUUGUGAAAUCUCCGGGCUUAACUCGGAAAGGUCAACUGAUACUGUGCGACUAGAGUGCAGAAGGGGCAACUGGAAUUCUCGGUGUAGCGGUGAAAUGCGUAGAUAUCGAGAGGAACACCUGCGGCGAAGGCGGGUUGCUGGGCUGACACUGACGCUGAUGCGCGAAAGCCAGGGGAGCGAACGGG
rnacentral:rRNA from 1 species